AUGACUUACCUUGAAAUGGUGUCGUUGAAGUUGGAGGUGGAGGAAUCGCUGCAAGAAGAGCAUUCUCCUCUCAAUAAGCGUUUCAAACCUUCAUCCGCUUGACAAGAGGCUUUUUAUCUUUUUCAAUAUCAUUAUCCUUUUUCUAAGAUAGAUAGAUAGAAACCCUCGGGUCCCGUGAAAUUAGGUUUCAUAAGUUUUGCCCUUCCGUUGAAAUGUUCGAUAUAUUUUUGUAGCGACUGUUUGGAAUGAAUUCACUGCUUCACAAUCUCUUUUCUAUAUAAUAAAUUUGUAAUCUUAUUGCUUCAUCUCUUGAUUCGUAUAUAUAUUAUCAUAACAAACCUAGCAGUGUAUAGCUCUUAACCGUAUGAUCUUCUCUCAGUGGCAGCAAGCAUGUCAAAGUUCGAACGACCUGACUUCCCAAUUGCUCAACAAGGUACUAUCACACAAUAGUAUAUCUGUUAAUUCAUUGAUUUAAUUUCUACUUAUGGUUGCAAUUGGUCGGGCUAAUUCUUUCUUGCAGGAAUUGCCUGCAAAUACUAAAGCUGGAAUUGAAUGGUUCCACUUUAACCUAGAAAGUUUUAAUAUUAAUCUAGAGCUUUUAAGAGUAUUCGUUUUCAUUUUUAAGUAAAAAUUUGUUCCAUUUUUUGCUUUAACGAACAACUAGAGUUUUAAUAUAGGAUUUAAGAAAUAUGGUUUGACCAAUGUUAAUGUUGUUGUCUUGUGAGAUUACUACAAUGAUGUCGUUGCCGUGAGCUUUGUUUUGAGUCUGAUUGAAUGUUAUAGCUGAUGUAUUCAUGGUCUUAUAGUCUGAAUCAAGACUGUUGUUGUGUUGGUAUGAGUGAGGCUGAUUUAAUCAUGUAUAUGUUUGCAUCCCGUGACAUUAUAGCCUGGAAUUUGUUUUUGUUGCGAUGUUCUGUUCUGGUUAUGAUUAAGUCAAAUGCAGGUGCCUCUAAUUAUUUCUUUCUUAUGCAAUUUUUCUUAAACUGUUAUAUGGAGAUUUAGUUUCUUAAACUAACAACAUACAAGUGGAGGAACUAUUAUAGUGGCAGAGAGUUUUUAUUGAAAUUACCUAAAUUCAUAUUUAAUCAAAUUUUCCUUCAAAACUAUAACAGAUUUAGACAAUAAAUGUGUGGUGCAGUUAUUUGUCAUCCUAUUUGGAAGUGUUUUUGUAUUUGAAGUGUAUAUCAUAAAACUUAUAUAUAUCCUGCGAAAGUGACAUUGCAGGGCUUGAGGAAGGCAAUUCCUGUUGCCUUUUACAAAGAUAUGGGGAUUAAACCUUAGAGGUUUUUGUUUCAGAUGGUGCAUAGUGUGAUAUUGCUCGUCUUCAGUUACUUAUGGGUCCCAAUCUGAAGAUUGUCGUGCAUGAUCCAUCCUUUUCGACAGGCCUACAUAGAUUCGAGUGUCAUAAUUGGUCAAGCUGGCAAGUUUGUAGAUAAUGCUCGGAAGUAUAAAAACAUAGAAUACAUGACAUGUGGACCUCAAACUAAUUUCUUUACUGAUCUGCUAAGCAUUUCAAGGACAGAACUUAUUUUCUUCAAUUCUCCAAACAAUCCCAAUGGUCAUGCAGCAACAAGGAAGCAAUCUUGUUUCAUGGAGCCAGAGAGGUAUGCCACUGGUUCCUUUCUGUUUCAUGUUGCUUUCACUAGCAUCUUGUACACCUUAUGUUUUUUUAAUUUCAGCUUUGGCAAUAAUCAUUUGUGGCUUCUUAUGAAGGGAAACUAAGCUAGUACAUAUUUUUUUUCCCAAUGACAUGCAACAUUAUUUUUGCACGACACUUUUUGCUUUGUUUC